GAGUGUUGCAGCUCUUUCAGAAUUUGUCUAGCAGGUUUUCUGGUUCUUUCUGGAAGACUCGC
ensembl:snRNA U7 U7 small nuclear RNA